UCAAUAUAAUGCAACAACAACAGCACCAGCUACAGCAACAAUAACAACAUCACCAAACAAUCCCAACAACAAUUUUCGACCACAAUUGGCAAAUGAUCGCAAUGCAAAUCGCAAUACGAUUCCCUAUACCUUUGCCAGCUGGCGCAAUGGCACCUAUUGCUAUCGCUAUAGCAGCAACAGCACCAAUGCCAGCAACAAUAACAACAACAACAACAACAAUAACAGCAACAACAAUAGCAAUGAGAACAUUCCCUGUUCUCAUGAUACAAGUAACUAUUCCAAAGUAGAGCUCGUCGAGAAGUUGUUCUUAUGGCAACAACAGAAACGAAAAGCCUAACAGCAGCAACAGCAACAAGAGCAGCAGCAACACCGACAGCAACACGAACCACAGCAACAACAUGGAUCAACUUUUUAUUAGGAUGGACUUGAAACAAUGAAUUUUGCAAAUGCUAAGUGAAGCAAAGCCGCAGCAAAUAGAAAAGCUAA